rnacentral:rRNA from 1 species
AAAUAAAUAGGCGGUGUCUGAAGUAAAAACAGGGGAUCCUGGGUGUUAAAGGACAAUCCACCUACAUUUGGCCCUUAUCUUAGUAGUGCGUGUGUAUGGUUGUUUACUCUAAUAUGGUGAGUGUCCGGGUAGAGGCUUUGGCGGUGACUGAAGCUACUUUUUCUGCUUAAGCAAUUAAGGUGAGUUUUUUAACAGCUUCAAAAAUAAUUCAGAUUGACAUGAAGCUUAUGAUAAGGCUAACCUGGGAUACAGUUGUAACUUAAGCAGUAAUUAAAAGUUUGAGCUAUUAAAAAAUAUCUCAAAUAACUCAACGAAUAAGAAAAGAAACCUUAACUUUGAAGAAGGGCUUGUAAGUAAGGGUCGCAAAUAAAGUGUCUCUGAAUACAAUCAGACGAGUACUAAUCGCCCGUCGCUCGCGAGGAAACUUGUGAAAAGUCGUAACAAGGUAGCGGUAACGGAAGUUGUUGCUAGGAUAGAGAAU